rnacentral:rRNA from 1 species
CAGAGGGUGCGAGCGUUGUUCGGAAUUACUGGGCGUAAAGCGCGCGCAGGCGGUCCUUUAAGUCUACCCGUGAAAUGCCGGAGCUCAACUCCGUGCACGCCGGGGGAUACUGGAGGACUGGAGACGAGUAGAGGCAAGCGGAAUUCCGGGUGUAGCGGUGGAAUGCGUAGAGAUCCGGAAGAACACCGGAGGCGAAGGCGGCUUGCUGGGCUUGGACUGACGCUGAGGCGCGAAAGCGUGGGGAGCGAACAGGAUUAGAUACCCUGGUAGUCCACGCCGUAAACGAUGGGCACUAGACGCGGGUGGGAUCGACCCCUUCCGUGUCGCAGCUAACGCGCUAAGUGCCCCGCCUGGGGAGUACGGCCGCAAGGCUG